AACGAACGCUGGCGGCAUGCCUAACACAUGCAAGUCGAACGAGACCUUCGGGUCUAGUGGCGCACGGGUGCGUAACGCGUGGGAACCUGCCCUUAGGUUCGGAAUAACUCCCCGAAAGGGGUGCUAAUACCGGAUAAUGUCUUCGGACCAAAGAUUUAUCGCAUUUGGAUGGGCCCGCGUUGGAUUAGCUAGUUGGUAUGGAAAAAGCCUACCACGACGACGAUCCAUAGCUGGUCUGAGAGGAUGAUCUGCCACACUGGGACUGAGACACGGCCCAGACUCCUACGUUAAGAAGCAGUGGAGUAUAUUGGACAAGGGCCGAAAGCAUGAUCCACCCGUGCCGCGUGAGUGAUGAAGGACUUAGGGUUGUAAAGCUCUUUAAUCCAGGAUGAUAAUGACAGUAACGGGAGAAUAAGCUCCGGCUCACUACGUG
rnacentral:rRNA from 1 species